rnacentral:rRNA from 1 species
UACGGGGGGGGCAAGCGUUGUUCGGAAUUACUGGGCGUAAAGGGCUCGUAGGUGGCCAACUAAGUCAUGCGUGAAAUCCCUCGGCUUAACCGGGGAACUGCGUCUGAUACUGGAUGGCUUGAGUUUGGGAGAGGGAUGCGGAAUUCCAGGUGUAGCGGUGAAAUGCGUAGAUAUCUGGAGGAACACCGGUGGCGAAGGCGGCAUCCUGGACCAACACUGACACUGAUGAGCGAAAGCCAGGGGAGCAAACGGG